AAACUCAAAGGAAUUGACGGGGGCCCGCACAAGCGGUGGAGCAUGUGGUUUAAUUCGAUGCAACGCGAAGAACCUUACCGGGAUUUGACAUCUCCUGUUACCCUUUGAAAGAAGGGGUUCUCUUCGGAGACAGGAAGACAGGUGGUGCAUGGUUGUCGUCAGCUCGUGUCGUGAGAUGUUGGGUUAAGUCCCGCAACGAGCGCAACCCCUAUCUUUAGUUGCUAACACUUUGGGUGAGCACUCUAGAGAGACUGCCGGUGAUAAACCGGAGGAAGGUGGGGACGACGUCAAAUCAUCAUGCCCUUUAUGUCCCGGGCUACACACGUGCUACAAUGGCCUAUACAGAGGGAAGCGACCUGGCGACAGGCAGCGGAUCCCUUAAAAUAGGUCUCAGUUCGGAUUGCAGGCUGCAACUCGCCUGCAUGAAGCAGGAAUCGCUAGUAAUCGCAGGUCAGAAUACUGCGGUGAAUACGUUCCCGGGCCUUGUGCACACCGCCCGUCACACCACGAAAGUCUGUCACGCCCGAAGCCGGUGGCCUAACCGCAAGGAGGGAGCCGUCGAAGGCAGGAUAGGUGAUUGGGGUGAAGUCGUAA
rnacentral:rRNA from 1 species